rnacentral:rRNA from 1 species
AGGGUUCGAUUAUGGCUCAGGACGAACGCUGGCGGUGCGCCUUAUGCAUGCAAGUCGAGCGAAGCUUUUCAGUAGUUUACUACAGAAAAUGACUGAGCGGCGAACGGGCGAGUAACGCGUGAGCAACCUACCUUAGUUACUGGGAUAGCCCGAGGAAACUCGGAUUAAUACCGGAUAUUCUUAUUUAAUCACAUGAUUUUUUAAGGAAAGGUCAGCCGAACUAAGAUGGGCUCGCGUUCUAUCAGCUAGUUGGUAGGGUAAUGGCCUACCAAGGCUACGACGGAUAGCUGGUCUGAGAGGACGAUCAGCCACACUGGGACUGAGACACGGCCCAGACUCCUACGGGAGGCUGCAGCAGGGAAUAUUGCGCAAUGAGCGAAAGCUUGACGCAGCGACACCGCGUGUGGGAUGACGGAUCUAGGUUUGUAAACCACUUUCAGGGGGGAAGAAAAUGACGGUACCUCCACAAGAAGCCCCGGCCAACUACGUGCCAGCCGCCGC